CCCGGUGAUAUAUUUAACGGCCGCAGUUGAGAGCUGUGCUAAGGUAGCGUAGUAAGUUGUCCUUUAAAUGGGGAAAGGAAUGAAUGGUUUGACGUGGGAAAAUCUGUCUCUGGUAAAAUUGAAAAAAUUUUCUUUCUAGUGAAAAGCCUAGGAUUAAAUUAAAAGACGAGAAGACCCUUUCGAGCUUGAUUAAGCCUGGAAAAUUUUUUAGGUUAAAGUUUGGUUGGGGCAACCUAGGAGCAAGAAGAGACUCCUUGAAGAUGGUAGUGAGCCAAAAUUUUUGAGAGAAAGAAAAAGCUACCGUAGGGAUAACAGCGUUAUCUCUUCUGAGAGAACAUAUUGAAGAAGAG
rnacentral:rRNA from 1 species